AGGGUGUAAUUGUUAAAAAUAGGUACAAACAUAAGAUAUAAACAAAAACCUAAACAAACACUUCUAUGUACAUAACGUCAUAAAAAUACUUGUUUUAUUUACCUCGCGCUGCCGUCCUUGUACUGCCGUGAACAGGAAAUUCUGGGAAUGGAGGACGGAGAGUUGAAUCGAUUCGUCUUCAACAAACCGAUCAGUGUGACAUCAAAACAUCGCGAGAACAACAGACAGCUCCGUGUGCAUUUGAAUCCAUCUCGCGAUAUUGUAUCACUUCAGGUACGCGCCUACUGAUUCGUUGAUUCAAACGAGUUGUGAAUCAAGAAGCCUUAAGAUCCGAAUCAAACUGCAGCAGCACGCCACGAGGUUUUGCUCAGACUUUUGGGACGUUUGGAAUUGCUCCGUCUUGUCACCAUGUAACACAUAGCAGCAAGACCCAUGGGAUUUCAUCAGCCACUCACCAUCAGAGUCCUCAGUGGAAGCUGAGAAGAGCAGAAGAGGAAGCCAAGCAAGAGAUGCCAGAAAAAAAGGGGGAAGGAAAUAAUGUGUUAUUUAGCUGUUUGAGUAUAGGCAGGCGUAGUGGGUAGCACAAUCGCCUCACAGCAAGAAGGUCGCUGGUUCGAGCCUCGGCUGGGUCAGUUGGCAUUUCUGUGUGGAGUUUGCAUGUUCUCCCCAUGUUAGCGUGGGUUUCCUCCGGGUGCUCCCACAAGUCCAAAAAUAUGUGGUGACAUUGGGUAAGGUAAAAUUGUCCGUAGUGUAUGUGUGUGAAUGAGUAUGUAUGGAUGUUUCCCAGUGAUGGGUUGCAGCUGGGUGGCAACACGGUGGCACAGUAGGUAGUGCUGUUUCCUCACAUCAAGAAGGU
rnacentral:lncRNA from 8 species